rnacentral:rRNA from 1 species
GACGAACGCUGGCGGCGUGCUUAACACAUGCAAGUCGAACGGAAAGGCCCUGCUUUUGUGGGGUGCUCGAGUGGCGAACGGGUGAGUAACACGUGAGUAACCUGCCCUUGACUUUGGGAUAACUUCAGGAAACUGGGGCUAAUACCGGAUAGGAGCUCCUGCUGCAGGGUGGGGGUGGGAAAGUUUCGGCGGUUGGGGAUGGACUCGCGGCUUAUCAGCUUGUUGGUGGGGUAGUGGCUUACCAAGGCAUUGACGGGUAGCCGGCCUGAGAGGGUGACCGGCCACCUUGGGACUGAGAUACGGACCAGUCUCCUACGGGAGGCAGCAGUGGGGAAUCUUGCACAAUGGGCGGAAGCCUGAUGCAGCAACGCCGCGUGCGGGAUGACGGCCUUCGGGUUGUAAACAGCUUUAGCCUGUGACGAAGCGUGAGUGACGGUAAUGGGUAAAGAAGCACCGGCUAACUACGUG